GUAGGUGGCAAGCGUUGUCCGGAAUUAUUGGGCGUAAAGCGCGCGCAGGCGGUUCUCUAAGUCUGAUGUGAAAGCCCACGGCUCAACCGUGGAGGGUCAUUGGAAACUGGAGAACUUGAGUACAGAAGAGGAAAGCGGAAUUCCACGUGUAGCGGUGAAAUGCGUAGAGAUGUGGAGGAACACCAGUGGCGAAGGCGGCUUUCUGGUCUGUAACUGACGCUGAGGCGCGAAAGCGUGGGGGAGCAAACAGGAUUAGAUACCCUGGUAGUCCACGCCGUAAACGAUGAGUGCUAAGUGUUAGGGGGUUUCCGCCCCUUAGUGCUGCAGCUAACGCAUUAAGCACUCCGCCUGGGAGUACGGCCGCAAGGCUGA
rnacentral:rRNA from 1 species